GAUUUUGAAAAGCUUUGAGAAGCUUUGAGCCUGCUUUGGUGGGGGGUGACUUCAGGCCUAGGUGAGGUCACCUGUCCUCAUCUUCCUUCAAACCCACUGCAGUAACUGUCUCUAUUUCCAACUGCCUGCCAACUGCUUUGCCAACUGCCUUUCCCAACCACCCACCAACAACUAACUCAAACCUCUGGCUAAGCCCUUUUAUAAACAGGGCAAUUUUCUAGACUCCCUACUGACCAAACAUUUGAGAGCAUUUUAAGAAGUUCUAAGAAGGAGACACUCACAUGCAAGCACAACUACAGAGGCAUAUUGGACAAAAGGAAGAACUCAUCCAACCCCUAGUAAAAGGGUCUGCAAAGCCAACAUUCCCUCAGAACCAUCGAGUUUGAAACAUGCCUCUUCAUACGCAAACUCUCAAGCUGAGCAAAAGAAGUACCAGUAAGCACUGUUGU